UGGGGAAUAUUGCACAAUGGGCGAAAGCCUGAUGCAGCAACGCCGCGUGAGUGAUGAAGGCCUUCGGGUUGUAAAGCUCUGUCUUUUGGGACGAUAAUGACGGUACCAAAGGAGGAAGCCACGGCUAACUACGUGCCAGCAGCCGCGGUAAUACGUAGGUGGCAAGCGUUGUCCGGAUUUACUGGGCGUAAAGGAUGCGUAGGCGGAUUUUUAAGUGAGAUGUGAAAACCCUAAGCUUAACUUGGGGACUGCAUUUCAUACUGGAAAUCUAGAGUGCGGGAGAGGAGAAUGGAAUUCCUAGUGUAGCGGUGAAAUGCGUAGAGAUUAGGAAGAACACCAGUGGCGAAGGCGAUUCUCUGGACCGUAACUGACGCUGAGGCAUGAAAGCGUGGGUAGCAAACAGGAUUAGAUACCCUGGUAGUCCACGCCGUAAACGAUGAGUACUAGGUGUAGGAGGUAUCGACCCCUUCUGUGCCGCAGUUAACACAAUAAGUACUCCGCCU
rnacentral:rRNA from 1 species